rnacentral:misc_RNA from 1 species
AUGCCAAGCACAUCUUGUUUCUGGUUAUGGUUCUCAAUAACUGAAUCUUCUGCAGUGCAUUCCUUCUCCUCAUAGUCCUUUGCUUCCACACUAUGUCCUGAAGUUUUAGGAAGAGCAUUAACUUUAUCAUGAGAGACACCAUUUGACUUCACUACGGCACCAUUUGGCUUCCUAUCCAUUUCCUCAUCUGCAAGUUCUAGUCCCAUCACAAAUUCCGGUCCGAUCUGACAGGAUCUCGAGCUUCUCCCUUCCUCUCUCCCCGUUUCUCUCUCUAUCUCUCUCCAAAAAUUAAAAAAAAAAAAAAGAAGCAAAAAUGUAGCGAGAGGC